GUGUCACGCCUGAACUAUGGGAUUAUCUCGCUAAUCCCGAAGGUUCCGGGGGAUUCGGAUAUUUGGCAAUUUCGCCCAAUCACUGCUCUAAACGUGAUCUUUCAGAUCCUGGCCAAGAGUGCCACUAGGGCGGCCCUACUUGCCCCUCGGAUUCUUCAUCCUAUUCAGACGACAUUCACCGAAGGACGGUAUAUCAUAGAUGGGGUCCUCGUCCUACACGAGGUCCUUCAUGAGGCCAAAAGGAAAUGCAUACACACAUUUUUCUUUAAGAUUGACUUUCAUAAGGCAUAUGACACGGUCCACUGGUCUUUCCUUCGGGAGAUCAUGAUGAAGCAGGGAUUUGACCCCCAUUGGAUUGCGCUUGUUAUGCAACUAUUAUUGACCGCCGCACGGCGAUCAAUAUCGAUGAAGAGGUUGGCUCUUAUUUCCACAUGGCUCAAGGGGUGCGCCAGGGGGACCCCAUGUCGCCCUUCCUAUUCAACCUUGUAG
rnacentral:rRNA from 1 species